CUGACACGUCUACCUCUGUGUGUUAAAAUCCGCAGUGCACGGCUACUGCCCGGCCGGGUUCAAGGCUCUGGGAAACAACUGCUACGUCAUUUUGAAGGUGAUGGGAUCCUAUGCCGAGGCACAGGUCCAAUCCGAACGACCCAGAUCUGACUCCUCCAGGAAAGGACAUUCCUGGCCCCUGGGAACCAGGAGUUGCUGACUUACUUCAACUGGGCUCCGGGGAAUCCCGACAAUUUAGGCGCGAAUCAACACUGUCUUAACAUUUUCCGAGAUGACUCGCAAUUGCGAUGGAAUGACGACCAUUGUUGGGCUGAUAGAUACCCGCUGUGCUAAAGGGAUCAACUGAAUCCGUCGAUUCCUGAAUAGAUCACCCAAUUGUUGGAUGGAUAAUGUCAGUGUCUGAAAUUAAAGCGAAAGCAAAACUUUUUAACGUUGUUUUGAUUACAGGUUUAAUGGACUAGGAACUAGCAG